rnacentral:rRNA from 1 species
CACCACAGCCAUAUCACCCUGCAGCCCAAGACUGGUUGCCCACUGAAGCUAAGCAGGGUUGAGCCUGGUCAGUACCUGGAUGGGAGACCUUCUGGGAAAACUAGGUUGCUGUUGGAA